GAUGAACGCUAGCGGCAGGCUUAAUACAUGCAAGUCGUGGGGCAGCAUGAUGUAGCAAUACAUUGAUGGCGACCGGCAAACGGGUGCGGAACACGUACACAACCUUCCUUUUAGUGGGGAAUAGCCCAGAGAAAUUUGGAUUAAUACCCCAUAAGAUAAUGAGAUGGCAUCAUCUUAUUAUUAAAGCUUCGGCGCUAGAAGAUGGGUGUGCGGCUGAUUAGGUAGUUGGCGGGGUAACGGCCCACCAAGCCUACGAUCAGUAGCUGAUGUGAGAGCAUGAUCAGCCACACGGGCACUGAGACACGGGCCCGACUCCUACGGGAGGCAGCAGUAAGGAAUAUUGGACAAUGGACGCAAGUCUGAUCCAGCCAUGCCGCGUGAAGGAUUAAGGUCCUCUGGGUUGUAAACUUCUUUUAUUUGGGACGAAAAAAGAUCAUUCUUGAUCACUUGACGGUACCAGAUGAAUAAGCACCGGCUAACUCCGUGCCAGCCGCCGCCGUAAAAC
rnacentral:rRNA from 1 species